GCAGCACAGUGUCGUUAUAAUGACGUCAAUUAUUGGACAUUAUUAGUCGGCGACGUCGUAGACCAAUAAGCGACGUCCAUAUGACGUGACAUUUCAGAUGUCAUUUUGACGUCGUCUAGAGACGUCUUUCGUACGUUUGUUUUCGGUCGUUUUAAGUGCUUUUUAAUCAACUAUAAAAAAAAUUAGAACGAAAGUUUAUUACAAAAACUAAGCCCUAUACGUGCUUUAUAAAAAAUUGUACAUUUUAAAUUGUUGUUUACCUAAAAUUUGGAUAUAAAUAUAAAUUCAUUAAUUAGCAAUGAAAAUACUAAACUGACGUUUUAAGUGGAAAUGCAAUUUGAAUUUAAAGAUGAAGUGAGAAUGUUGUAAUUAACAAUUAUUUAACUAUUUUAUUAGUAGGAAACAAUUAUUUUUAGCAUCGAUUCCUGUCGAGGCUGUCGACCAAGAUUUAAUUUUGGCGCGUUUUUAAUCGAAAUGCCACGAUACGAUACGAGACGUGCAGGCGCAUGCGUGCUGGACUGCUGGUGUGAACGCGUGUGCGCGUAAUGGCGGACGGCAGCAAAAAGUUGUUUGGCGGCAAUUUCACGGAAAUCCAGUAACUCUAGCAUUUCCGGGGUGAUUCUUGUUAAUUUCGGCCGUGGCAACAAAUUUUUCAAAACGACUAUAAGAUUGCGGAGAAAAAAAUUAAAAAGGCUGAAAUUACCUCAGAUUUAACUACAGAUGCUGAGGAAUCAGCAAUUAUUUCACCUCGAAGGAAAAUACGUCCAAAGAAAUUUUCCACUGAUGAUGAGCAGGAAGAAGUGCUGUCAUCAUCAGAAGAUGAUUUUCCAAAAAACAAGAAACCCCUACCUAGACCAAAACCAAUAAUACGGAAGUCUAUUACAAACAUAUUAUCUGAUUAUUCUGGCCCAAUUCAAACUUUUCCAUUAGCUUCAGCUGGACAAUCGCAAAGGUCGUUUGAGGAUAGUGAUUCUACAAAUCAACUUUAUUAUUUGCCACCUCAACAUUCAGCAAAAGAUACUCAAUUGACUAAAUCUUCAGGACAA